UACGAAGGGGGCUAGCGUUGUUCGGAAUUACUGGGCGUAAGGGCGCGUAGGCGGUGUGUCAAGUCAGGCGUGAAAGCCCCGGGCUCAACCUGGGAACAGCGCUUGAGACUGGCACGCUCGAGUUCGGGAGAGGAUGGUGGAAUUCCCAGUGUAGAGGUGAAAUUCGUAGAUAUUGGGAAGAACACCGAUGGCGAAGGCAGCCAUCUGGACCGUAGCUGACGCUGAGACACGAAAGCGUGGGUAGCAAACAGG
rnacentral:rRNA from 1 species